UAGUUCACCAUCUUUCGGGUCCCG
rnacentral:siRNA from 1 species